rnacentral:lncRNA from 1 species
UGAAUGUCAUAUGUUUUAAGGUGAUAUAAUUUUUCUAGUUAAUCUAUUAGCCCUUGAGGCCGGGCUAAACUGGCAAGGGGCUGAUGUGGCUAUGUAGGAGCUUGCUCAAGUCCAAGCAGGGACCCAAAAAACAGUUACCUAUCAAAAAAUAAUUUUCUAGGUAACCUAUGGUUUAAUUGAAAUAAAAGGAUAAUUCAGUUUGAUUUAGAGUUGUUUGAGACUGUAGAGUUUUCCAAUUGAAGCAGAAGAACAAUUUCUCUUCAAAUACGUCACCAUAAGAAGUGAGAGUGAGUUUCUAGUCAGACUAUAGGUGAAAUAAUCUUGAUUUGAUUGAGAAACACCUAUCCACUAUCAAUUCAUUUUUGUUCCUUUGAAAUCCAUUUUUGGACCAUAAGAAUUGUCUACUCCUUUUCUGCUUUUCGAGUUCCCUUACAUAACUUUUCUGGUUGUUCAUUUUUUAAUUUCUUUUAAAUUUUUGUAUUCCUGGUGUAUUUAAAGUAUACCAUUGGGCGGUUGAUAAAUGUCUGCAAGCUUAAUGAUACUUAUAUCAGUAUACUUGUUUUAUGGCUUCAGUGUUAUGCCUUCAUUUUUUAUUUGGUAUAUUGUAUCUUAUGAGUCUCAGAUUGUUAUACCUUUUCAAGUUUCCUGUCUAUUGAUCUUGUGCAUUAUGAUGCUUGAUUUCCUCAACUAAAUAUUUUAUGAGGUUUCUCGUUACAUUCUAUCAUACAAAGUUAUUAAACAUUGUUAGAGUUUAUUGUUACAAUGUUUGAAGUUUACUAAUGUUGUGUUAUAUUAUGGAGUAUUAUUUUAAUCCUCUCCGUUUUAGACUCAAAAUUAUAUAAGUAGGUGGAAAGGCAUAAAAAAGUCAACAAGACCAAAAUUUAUUUCUUCUCUUUUCCCUUCACCUAGAAUCACAAUUUUAUAGUUUCAACGUCUUGACAAGAACAAGCAACCUUAAUCCCGAGGAAAUAUUUACUUAAAAUCUUUUUUCUGAGAUUAGUUGCUUAGGGCCUAUUUGGUUGGUGUUUUCAAAAAUUGUUUUCUGUUCUUGAGAACACAAAACACUAAAAACCCAUUUGGCAAAGGAGUGUAAAAUUGUUUUCGGUUUUCUUCAUGUUUUCAAAUGCCCUUUUUAAGAGAACAACUUAAAGAUGUUUUUGUUGUUUUUUAUCAGAAAACAAAAAAAUGGGAUGCUCUCUGUGUUUUCACCCUAGUGUUCUCUAUGUUCUCCUCUCUUGCUUUGCAGUGUUCUCAUGGCUGGUUUUUAUCUCCACGAGUUCUUCAUUCUUUAGUUGAAACUGAUAUGCUACCUUGUUGCAUUUUUCUGGUGUGGGGCAAUUGUUAUCCACUGGAGCUUGAGUGAGCUUUUCCUCUUUUUAUUUAUUUUUUAUUUUUUUCAUUUUGCUCUCUUUCUCUCCUCUCCCACUGCAACACCGUUUUGCAUCUGCUAGAAUUUUUUUUUUUUUUCUUUUGUGGGAUUUUUAAGUCCAAGUAAAGGAUGAGAAAUCCUUCCAAAAAUAUCCAUCUCAAAUUUUUAGCAAUUGUUCUUUUGAACUUAAUUUUUUAUUGGAAACAAUCAAUUCCAUCCAUUGAACUGAUCAGAUUAUUCUAACUUUGUUUUGGAAUGAAAGAAAAAGUGAUCUGCCCCUUCAUUUAAGAUGGAUAGAGAUGAAAGACUUGUGAUAUACAGCAUUGCUCUUUUCCCAUAUAGGCCCCAAAGACAUGCUACAAUUUUUCUUGCAGGAAAUGCAUUAUAACUUUCAUGCUAACCAAACAAAGCCAAAAGGAAGAAAAGAUGAUCUUGUUUCUUGAAUGUCAUACGUUUUAAGGUGAUAUAAUUUUUCUAGUUAAUCUCUUAGCCAUUGAGGCCGGGCUAAACUGGCAAGGGGUUGGGGUGGCCAUGUAGGAGCUUGCUCAAGUCCAAGCAGGGACCCAAAAAAAAGUUACCUAUCAAAAAAUAAUUUUCUAGGUAACCUAUGGUUUAAUUGAAAUAAAAGGAUAAUAUCAGUUUGAUUUAGAGU